CACCCGAGUUGAGCGGGCCACGCAGCGCUGGGGCCCCACUCUCCACGCCUUUUGUUGGCCCUAUUGUAAUGAGUGUGUGUUGGGAUCGGGGGCGUAAUGAGAGGGCUGCGACCCCCCGAUGAGGUGGAUUUGCUGUCCAAAGACCGUUAGACAGCGCCAGAAUGAAUGGGGGAGUGAAUGUCAUUGUAAUGCAGCGGGACAGCUCCUCCUUCGCGCUGGUUAAGACCGAGAGGCCGCACUGACCAGAAACCGAGCUGGGAGAAAAACACUGCCUGCGAGCUCGCUACUUUUUCUCUUUUAGUUCCCUUUACCAAUGUUUCCGCCAUAUUUCCUCUGUGUUUCGGGAAAAAUCAUGGCUGUCAGCUACUUUUGGGACACAGCACUGAAGGAGGUUUUCUCACAGGAUCAUCUUCCGAGCUCCAGGAUUCGUCUGUGAAGAUUCUAAUAACUAGAAGAACCAUUGAGUCUAGCUCCUAUCUGCAAAACGUCUUUCUCAAGGACACGUCGCUGAUGAGGCUUUGGCUAACUGGGGAGAACGCGGCCUGGUGUGUGACGUCAUCACGUCCCCAUGUAAUCCUUUUGCGUUGAGCCCAAUCAGCAGAAGGCUGCGCGUGUCUGGGCCGGGAAGAGAGAACCUCUAAUCCGCGAGACUGGAUCAGAGCGGCUGAGAGAGAGAGAGAAAAAAAACACCCACCCAGGGCUGGAGCAAAAAAAAAUCCUUUGCCGAGGACGGGCGAGAUUAAAAAGGGAUGGAUCGGAGAGGACGCGGCCCAGUGCUGGUGGGGGUCUGCGGAGCGCUACAGUGCAGCAAUGAAUUUAACCGAGGAUGCCGCAAAGGAGAGCUGAGCUCUAUGGAAGGAAAAAGCAAAUCACCGUCGAGACACCAGGCAUAGAAAGAACGCAGCAGUCAAAGAGCGCGCGCGAUUAAAUUGGGCAGCAGUGAAGAAGGAACGCUACUAUGCGCACACCGAGCAGGAGGGCGCAUUUGCAUAGACAAGCGGAGAGACUUGGACAAGCCAUCGUAUUCUUUCCCGGUACUGUAGCAUAUUUCCAAACGACAUUCUGUCCUUCUUCUUUUUUUUCCACCCCUCCUUUUUUGUGUUAUUAUGAACAAAGGAUCAGCAUCGAGCAGCAUUUUCAAAAAACCUUGGACACAGAACAUAUGAACGCAAACUCUUUUGAUACCACGGAGCAUCGCAAUGCUGAGCGCAAGAGAAAAUCUCUUCUGCAUCCAGCGACCUGCUUUAUUCUGCAUCGUUCCCUCUGUGACCUUGUGACACUUUGCGCUUGAUUUAAAUAGCCUACCCCUGCGUGGACUGAAAUGUGUCGUGAUAUUUCACACCAUCUUUGUUUUGAAUGUUGCAGGAUAUGUGGUUGUAACGAUCAAUUGAUGCCCUAACCGGUUUGCGUCACUGCUGCGCUUGCAUUCAUACUAAAGUUAUUUACAAAAAAAAAGAAAGAAAAAAAAGGAGGAGUGUGUGUGGUGCUGGGAGGGUGGAGGUGUGGGGGGUGAUUUUAGGGGAGGGGACGAAACAGUGCACUGUAAUGUCCAUCCAAAUCCAGGGAAAGCGCUCUGCUAGAGGCGGUGCUCGGAGCGCGAAGUUCGAGCGCCUUGUAUUCUGUGUGGUCGGCUUUAAACGGAAAGCUUGGUCGGGUUCUUGCUCUGCGUGUUCACAGCGGACCUUGAUUUAAUGUCCAAACAAUUAAGGCACGCGGUGAAUGCCAAGAGAGGAAUCUCCUGAGCAUCGUGUUUCCUCCAUUCUGUCGUAUUCCGCGCGAGUUGACAUUCGUAAUGCGCACGACGCCAAUGACAGUCAUCAACAUUUCAGCCUAUGUUCAAUACAGCUGCGGACGAUAACAGGAUAUCAGCUUCGUUACUGCGAGGCGUUCAGUAACAGAUCAAAAUAAUGGCUGUAUUAGGGGUUAUUUUCCCUCAACGUUCACAAGGAAGAGCAUCACAGGCCUUGCGCUUCAUUGUGGUUUGCUCAUUUUGCGCAACCUUUAUGUGCAGGCCCGAGUCUUCUCCUUUGUGCAGUGAAGGUCUAGCAGAAAAUGACUACAUGUGCACUUUGCAAAUGUAUCCACAUAACCAACCGAGGCUGUAAAAUGAAGACAAUAGCCUACAAAUAGCCUACUGUGAAAAUUAAUCUUUAGUUUUAAGCUAGUUUUCGCACAUCACAGACAGAUGCGUUUGCGUAUGCGUCAGCAGGCCUUGCUAUUUGUGGACUAAUAAAUAUAUCCCCGUGUGUCUUGGUUCAAAAGAAUGUACAGUGAUUAUGUGGGGGAAAUAUGGGGAUUGGGGUAAAUAGCACAGGCUACCCAGGGUACAAUCAAACGACAUUAGCAUAUGUUGCAAUGUGACAAGUUUGAGCUUGCUUUGUGUGAGUGCGCCACCUAUAGAGUCCAUCGGUAACAGUCGUAUUUAGAAACACGCCAUUUAGUAACUUCCUUUACAGCAAUCAACGAGUUAAUGGGCUUUUGUUUUGCUAUUGUAAAAAACAAACAAAAAAAAAACAAAAAAAAGCGGUCUUUGCAUAACAGUUCAUAUAGGCUAGAGCUGCACGCUAUAUAGAGCUGGUCCUGAAUUCAUAUCCAUGAAAAUUCUGUCUAUUAAUGAAGAGAAAUUGUAAAAGGUCUAUGGGAAUGUAAUUACAGUUGAAGUAUCACGUUGCGCAGUGGCAUUUCUGAAUCGGAGAUCCUAGGGGGGGAAAUAUCUGCUUGUUGUUUUGUACUUUUAAUGAGGCAGUAGCAGAUCAUUCAGUAUAAAUUACCGCAUUUGGUGUUUAUGCCUGUCUCCCUUUAAGGCUUCUGCUUGUCCUACAUGGUACAGUCUGUUCCUAACAUCUUUGCUGAGGAACAGCAUGUUCCAGCCAAAUGCUGCUCCAGGUGGUGAAGUAACAAAGACAAAACAUGUUACAGGCAAACAAUGGGCUAAAUACAGUGGAAGAAGUUACUAGGCUUCAUACAGAAAUAUUUUAUAUAGUGCGUAUUUUAAUAUAGUAAUAAUGCACCAAAUGACUAAAUGUUAAACACUAUACAAAAAAAAUAAAUUAAAAAAAAAAAAAAAAAACGACAGGAUUUGGACAUGUAUAGGCAACCAAAUAAUUAGUUAUUAGAAGUUCAGGUAAUCCUAUGGGAAUUUAUUAGCCUAUAUAUCAUAUAUGUGUCAUUAUUUUACUCUUAAGAUACUCUUAAAAUGGAUUAGUAUCGCAUUAGUGACUGUCCACACAGGAUAACAGUGUCAUCGCGUGUUUAUUGUUAUUGUGCUUGUGUGUAAAUAAUGUCACAUUUGUAUAGAGUUGCAUUAUAGAGUAUGCAUACUGGUAAGUAUUGUGCAAAACGAUAUAUCGAUAUAUGUGUUAUUGUUUGAUUCUGUGUCACUCACUAACAAAUACAAAUAAAUGUAUCAAUCUGUUUUGUCUUGUGCUUCCUGAUCGUACACCUGGAUUAUAAUCUUGAAUUUAGUAUACUACGGAGCUGUUUAUUCAGAUAGGAAAAUAUACAGGCUCUUUUAGUAUAGCACAGUAUUAAUUUGGCCUACUUCUGCUUCACGGAUGAAACGGAAAGGUCGGUGUAAAGACUGUAUUUCCAUUGGAACUAAGUUGUUAUUUUGUUUGAACUCUAUCACAAUUUCACAAUAAAUUUGCCUAAAUUUUCCAGUGUAAAAAAACAAAACAAAAACGAAAUAUCUAGUAAGCUUAAAUGUAGUGAUCUACAUUAAACUGACAAACAUACAGCAUUGUUAGAGGCCUGAAGUGUAACCCAGCCGCGCUAGAAAUGUAUAGAGACACAGCCGAAAGUCUAACUGAAACACGGAAAUGUCGCUGUAGCUCUUUAGAAAACAUUUCAGAAACAGAUAAAUUCACACCGGACAAUUUCUAUUUGUCCUGUAUUAAUGUGCAAAGCAGAAACCUGUUGGUCAGUGCGACACUAAGAUCUAUUUCCGUGACAAUAUUGUAUAUACAAUAUGUUUAUCAAUAAAGGUGUUGUUUAGUACAGGCCUUUUCCUUCCAGAGAUUAUUAGUUUGAGAUAUUAACACUAUAUAUGCUGUAUAUAUGAAAACAAAUUCAAAACCAAAAUAGUGACCUUUUAAUUAAAGGAUAAAAUUCUCGGACGUGUACUGAGAGUGUUGUAGACUCGGGUAUGAUAGGUCAGGGCCUAUCUUUCCUUCAAGCAUCGUACACGUUCAGAAAUAUACGGUAGCCUACUAAACGGUACACCCUUUGGACCUUUUAUAUGUAUAUUUUAUCCAGAAAGAUAUGUAGUGUACCAUUGACUUUUACUCUGAAAGGUAAUUAAGGACCAAUUAUGUAUCUUAAUUAUUUUUUAAUGUUAGCCUACACUGUAUCCACAUUUCAAGGUGACGCAUACGUAUUAGAGGUACAAAUAUGAGUUUACAACGAUACAGUUCAACCCCCUUAUCCAUGAGAGUGUAAAGUUAAAUUAAUCCCUGGAGUGUUUAAUGAGAUGCUCACUCUAUCAUUUGACGAUUGGCUUUGUGCUGUUAUGUAUUCUGGAAACUCAACACUUAGUAGGUUAGGGAUAUUCUGAAGUGCUGUGAUCAUAUAGGAUCACGACUAUUGUGUUAUACUGGAUGAAUUGCACUUGCGCUCAGCUCUUAAGAACAAGUGGCUUCUGUUCGCAGACUUUAAUCAUACAUUAUACAUAGGCCAUAUAAACGGGCGAUUCCAAGUUGAAAGAAAGCUGGGUUAGCAACGUUUCAAGCAUUUUAUCUUGGAAACAAGUAGCUAUUUGUACCAGAUUAAAUUGCAAGCGGUAUUUCAACACGAGUUGAUAUGCUGUGCACCUAUAAGGAGAAUUGGAUUGACAAAAUAUUAUUUGGAAUUUAAUGUGUCAAUUAAGGGAAAACAAUAGCUAUAUAAUAGUUUUACGUGUAAAUUUAAUUUAACUUGUGUUUUAUUAUUAUUAUUAUUAUUA
ensembl:lncRNA